UACGUAGGCAGCAAGCGUUGUUCGGAAUUACUGGGCGUAAAGAGUGUGUAGGCGGUGCUCUAAGUUCGGUGUGAAAUCUCCCGGCUUAACUGGGAGGGUGCGCCGGAAACUGGAGUGCUCGAGCGUGGGAGAGGAAAGCGGAAUUCCUGGUGUAGCGGUGAAAUGCGUAGAUAUCAGGAGGAACACCGGUGGCGAAGGCGGGUCUCUGGGCCGAUACUGACGCUGAGGAGCGAAAGCGUGGGGAGCGAACAGG
rnacentral:rRNA from 1 species